rnacentral:rRNA from 1 species
ACAUGCAAGUCGUACGCACUGGCCCAACUGAUUGAUGGUGCUUGCACCUGAUUGACGAUGGAUUACCAGUGAGUGGCGGACGGGUGAGUAACACGUAGGUAACCUGCCCCGGAGCGGGGGAUAACAUUUGGAAACAGAUGCUAAUACCGCAUAACAACAAAAGCCACAUGGCUUUUGUUUGAAAGAUGGCUUUGGCUAUCACUCUGGGAUGGACCUGCGGUGCAUUAGCUAGUUGGUAAGGUAACGGCUUACCAAGGCGAUGAUGCAUAGCCGAGUUGAGAGACUGAUCGGCCACAAUGGAACUGAGACACGGUCCAUACUCCUACGGGAGGCAGCAGUAGGGAAUCUUCCACAAUGGGCGCAAGCCUGAUGGAGCAACACCGCGUGAGUGAAGAAGGGUUUCGGCUCGUAAAGCUCUGUUGUUGGAGAAGAACGUGCGUGAGAGUAACUGUUCACGCAGUGACGGUAUCCAACCAGAAAGUCACGGCUAACUACGUGCCAGCAGCCGCGGUAAUACGUAGGUGGCAAGCGUUAUCCGGAUUUAUUGGGCGUAAAGCGAGCGCAGGCGGUUGCUUAGGUCUGAUGUGAAAGCCUUCGGCUUAACCGAAGAAGUGCAUCGGAAACCGGGCGACUUGAGUGCAGAAGAGGACAGUGGAACUCCAUGUGUAGCGGUGGAAUGCGUAGAUAUAUGGAAGAACACCAGUGGCGAAGGCGGCUGUCUGGUCUGCAACUGACGCUGAGGCUCGAAAGCAUGGGUAGCGAACAGGAUUAGAUACCCUGGUAGUCCAUGCCGUAAACGAUGAGUGCUAGGUGUUGGAGGGUUUCCGCCCUUCAGUGCCGGAGCUAACGCAUUAAGCACUCCGCCUGGGGAGUACGACCGCAAGGUUGAAACUCAAAGGAAUUGACGGGGGCCCGCACAAGCGGUGGAGCAUGUGGUUUAAUUCGAAGCUACGCGAAGAACCUUACCAGGUCUUGACAUCUUGCGCUAACCUUAGAGAUAAGGCGUUCCCUUCGGGGACGCAAUGACAGGUGGUGCAUGGUCGUCGUCAGCUCGUGUCGUGAGAUGUUGGGUUAAGUCCCGCAACGAGCGCAACCCUUGUUACUAGUUGCCAGCAUUAAGUUGGGCACUCUAGUGAGACUGCCGGUGACAAACCGGAGGAAGGUGGGGACGACGUCAGAUCAUCAUGCCCCUUAUGACCUGGGCUACACACGUGCUACAAUGGACGGUACAACGAGUCGCAAGCUCGCGAGAGUAAGCUAAUCUCUUAAAGCCGUUCUCAGUUCGGACUGUAGGCUGCAACUCGCCUACACGAAGUCGGAAUCGCUAGUAAUCGCGGAUCAGCAUGCCGCGGUGAAUACGUUCCCGGGCCUUGUACACACCGCCCGUCACACCAUGGGAGUUUGUAACGCCCAAAGUCGGUGGCCUAACCUUUAUGGAGGGAGC